AAACCGAUUACAUGCAUUUUUUUUUUAAAUAUCAGACAUCAUUUUUUGAAAGCAGUUGAAAAGUCAGUUCAAGUUAUACAUGUACUUGAAUCUAAAGAGGUGGAAAAAUAUUCUUUGAUUGUAUUUGAUAAUAGUGUUAUAUUUAUUUUGUUGUAUCACAUCUUAAGUCUCGAAGAAUACCAAGAAUUUUUCCAAAAUAGCUAUUGAUAGUAGAUUUAGGUGUCGUUAAAUUUAAAUCUCCUUGUACAGUUCGUGUACUUGAUUAUUAAUGUAGCAUGAACCAUAACUCUUAAAUGCUUCUAAAAUACAUUUACAUGUAUAAUGUCAAUACUAAGGAUAAAAGAUUGAUAGAGUUUGUUGGGGGGUAAGUUUCUAUGGGUUUUUUUUUUAUAGAUUACGAAAGAUAGAAAUUGUUCCUAAACAUUAAAAAUUAGACUCACAAAAAUAAUUUUCUAGUUUUACUCUAUUAUCAUCUUUAAAUGUCAGAAAAUCAAAGGUGCAUGUCAUUUUGAUAUUCAGCAAUUCAUGGGAUGCUUGUAAACUUAUGAGAAUUUCUUAGAUGUUAAAAGCUAGAAAGUGCCUCCCAUAGUGGGUCUCUUGUUUAUGAUUUGAGUUUAUUUAUAUAAAUGUAUAAUUAUGUGUCCAUUCCUUUGUUUUUGUUUAUGUUUUUUUUUUACAGAUUAUAUUAUAUUUAAUACCUAAUUCAAAUAAAAUGGUCUCUUUU